UUGGCCCCGAUCAAGACCAUCAGCUUGCAGUAGCUCCUGGUUUCAAAGGGAGCCCACAUUAACUCCUUCCUGUGGUCUGUUGAUUUUUCCCAGAGAUGCAAAGGGGCUAAUCAGUUCAGUUGGAAGGAACAAAU
rnacentral:snoRNA from 1 species